rnacentral:lncRNA from 1 species
UUCAUAGUUGAAAUUGUACUUUUAGAAAAACAAAAAGUAAGCCUGAAACUUAGAUUUUGAAGAAGAAAUAUCUUUAAGAAUUUUAGAAGCUUUUAUGUUAGCAAUUUUACCUGGUAAAACUAAGAUCUAUUAGAUUAAUUUGAGAUAAGACCUCUAAGUCCUGAACAAAGGCAGAUUCAAUUUAUUUUUUGUUUUGAGGUCUUUUUACAAAAGGUCCUUUUCUAGGAAAAAAUUGCGUAUCUACAGUAAACAUCUCAUCAAGAUGAUGAUCUUUUGUUUAAAUCAAAGAACUGGAAAUUAGUGUUUCUUUCAGAUUUACUCUGUAGUAUGAAAAAUUG